GAUGAACGCUGGCGGCGUCCCUAAUACAUGCAAGUCGAGCGAACAGACGAGGAGCUUGCUCCUCUGACGUUAGCGGCGGACGGGUGAGUAACACGUGGAUAACCUACCUAUAAGACUGGGAUAACUUCGGGAAACCGGAGCUAAUACCGGAUAAUAUAUUGAACCGCAUGGUUCAAUAGUGAAAGACGGUUUUGCUGUCACUUAUAGAUGGAUCCGCGCCGCAUUAGCUAGUUGGUAAGGUAACGGCUUACCAAGGCAACGAUGCGUAGCCGACCUGAGAGGGUGAUCGGCCACACUGGAACUGAGACACGGUCCAGACUCCUACGGGAGGCAGCAGUAGGGAAUCGUCCGCAAUGGGCGAAAGCUUGACGGAGCAACGCCGCGUGAGUGAUGAAGGUCUUCGGAUCGUAAAACUCUGUUAUUAGGGAAGAACAAAUGUGUAAGUAACUAUGCACGUCUUGACGGUACCUAAUCAGAAAGCCACGGCUAACUACGUG
rnacentral:rRNA from 1 species